AGCGAACGCUGGCGGCAGGCCUAACACAUGCAAGUCGAACGAAGCCUUCGGGCUUAGUGGCGGACGGGUGAGUAACACGUGGGAACGUACCUUUUGGUUCGGAAUAACGCAGAGAAAUUUGCGCUAAUACCGAAUGAGCCCUUCGGGGGAAAGAUUUAUCGCCGAAAGAUCGGCCCGCGUUGGAUUAGGUAGUUGGUGUGGUAAAGGCGCACCAAGCCUACGAGACAUAGCUGGUCUGAGAGGAUGAUCAGCCACACUGGGACUGAGACACGGCCCAGACUCCUACGGGAGGCAGCAGUGGGGAAUCUUGCGCAAUGGGCGAAAGCCUGACGCAGCCAUGCCGCGUGAAUGAUGAAGGUCUUAGGAUUGUAAAAUUCUUUUACCAGGGACGAUAAUGACGGUACCUGGAGAAAAAGCCCCGGCUAACUUCGUGCCAGCAGCCGCUGUAAUAC
rnacentral:rRNA from 1 species